rnacentral:rRNA from 1 species
AACGAACGCUGGCGGCAGGCUUAACACAUGCAAGUCGAACGCCCCGCAAGGGGAGUGGCAGACGGGUGAGUAACGCGUGGGAAUCUACCCAACUCUACGGAAUAACUCAGGGAAACUUGUGCUAAUACCGUAUACGCCCUUCGGGGGAAAGAUUUGUCGGAGUUGGAUGAGCCCGCGUUGGAUUAGCUAGUUGGUGGGGUAAAGGCCUACCAAGGCGACGAUCCAUAGCUGGUCUGAGAGGAUGAUCAGCCACAUUGGGACUGAGACACGGCCCAAACUCCUACGGGAGGCAGCAGUGGGGAAUAUUGGACAAUGGGCGCAAGCCUGAUCCAGCCAUGCCGCGUGAGUGAUGAAGGCCCUAGGGUUGUAAAGCUCUUUCACCGGUGAAGAUAAUGACGGUAACCGGAGAAGAAGCCCCGGCUAACUUCGUGCCAGCCGCCGCCGUAACAC